AUGUUGUUUUAUUAUAUACUCAUUUAAAACAAUAUGUGUUAUAAUAAGCCUAUGUCACAGUAUAUUAUAUAUUAUACUAUUUGGUAUAUUUGUACCUAAACGAAAUACCGAAUGAAUAUGGAAUCAUAUUCUUAUUAGUUAUUAUUGUCUAUAACUAUCAUUUUAUUAAUUAUGGUAUUGAUUUCCCAUAAUUUUUUGUAAACGUGAAUUUUGUAAACCGUUUAUAAUUGAUGUAUAUUUUUUUACUGUGUCUAGUGAACCUAUGUAAAUAUAAAAUGUAUAACAAAUAAAGAAACAAUGAAUACUUAAUUGAAUUUAAUUCAUAUUAUUUCAGUUCCAUUAUGCACUUACGUAGUAAACUUUAAAGAAAAUGAAGAUGAUCCUCUAAACCCAGAUUUUUUUUGCAUUGCACACAGCAAUACAGUCAAUGAGAUUAUUAAAUAAAUCAUGGUAGGUAAACAAUAUAUUACAUUUUUACAAAAUAUUAAACGAAAAGUUGAUAAAUGUUUAGCUUGUGUUCAAUUGUAUUUUAUUUUAGUUUAAUUUUACUUACAUUAAGAUGACGUCGCACCCGCAUGUG